rnacentral:misc_RNA from 1 species
GAUGAAGAACGCAGCAAAAUGCGAUAAGUAAUGUGAAUUGCAGAAUUCAGUGAAUCAUCGAAUCUUUGAACGCACAUUGCGCCCGCUGGUAUUCCGGCGGGCAUGCCUGUUCGAGCGUCAUUUCAACCCUCAAGCCCCCGGGUUUGGUGUUGGGGAUCGGCUCUGCCCUUCUGGGCGGUGCCGCCCCCGAAAUACAUUGGCGGUCUCGCUGCAGCCUCCAUUGCGUAGUAGCUAACACCUCGCAACUGGAACGCGGCGCGGCCAUGCCGUAAAACCCCAACUUCUGAAUGUGACCUCGGAUCAGGUAGGAAUACCCGCUGAACUUAAGCAUAUCAAUAAGCGGAGGA